GAUGAACGCUAGCUACAGGCUUAACACAUGCAAGUCGAGGGGUAACGAGAGGAAAGCUUGCUUUCCUUGUCGACGACCGGCGCACGGGUGAGUAACGCGUAUCCAACCUGCCCCCAACUAGGGAAUAACCUUGCGAAAGUAAGACUAAUACCCUAUAAUUUCCUCAGAUGUCAUCUGACGAGGAAUAAAGAUUUAUCGGUUGUGGAUGGGGAUGCGUCUGAUUAGCUUGUUGGCGGGGUAACGGCCCACCAAGGCAACGAUCAGUAGGGGUUCUGGGAGGAAGGUCCCCCACAUUGGAACUGAGACACGGGCCAAACUCCUACGGGAGGCAGCAGUGAGGAAUAUUGGUCAAUGGGCGGAAGCCUGAACCAGCCAAGUAGCGUGCAGGAUGACGGCCCUAUGGGUUGUAAACUGCUUUUAUACUGGAAUAAAGUUAGCCACGUGUGGUUAUUUGUAGGUACUGUAUGAAUAAGGACCGGCUAAUUCCGUGCCAGCCGCCGCCGUAA
rnacentral:rRNA from 1 species